CACAGAGACGUGGGUUUNCACUUCGGGGACCGGAACACAGGUCGCUGCAUGUUUGUCGUCAGCUCGUGUCGUGAGAUGUUGGGUUAAGUCCCGGCAAAGAAGGGGCAACCCUUCGGCCCUUAGUUGCCAGCAUUUAGUUGGGCACUCUAAGGGGACUGCCGGUGAUAAGCCGAGAGGAAGGUGGGGAUGACGUCAAGUCCUCAUGGCCCUUACGGGCUGGGCUACACACGUGCUACAAUGGUGGUGACAGUGGGCAGCGAAGGAGCGAUCCCGAGCUAAUCUCCAAAAGCCAUCUCAGUUCGGAUUGCACUCUGCAACUCGAGUGCAUGAAGUUGGAAUCGCUAGUAAUCGCGGAUCAGCACGCCGCGGUGAAUACGUUCCCGGG
rnacentral:rRNA from 1 species